GAUAAACGCUAGCGGCAGGCCUAACACAUGCAAGUCGAGGGGUAACGAUGUCUUCGGACAGUCGACGACCGGCGCACGGGUGAGUAUCGCGUUUGUAACCUACCUUUAACUGGAGAAUAGCCCGAAGAAAUUCGGAUUAAUACUCCAUAAUACUAUGAACUGGCAUCUUUUUAUAGUUAAAGCUCCGGCGGUUAAAGAUGGGCAUGCGUAACAUUAGUUUGUUGGGGAGGUAACGGCUCACCAAGACUACGAUGUUUAGGGGGUCUGAGAGGAUGGUCCCCCACACUGGUACUGAGACACGGACCAGACUCCUACGGGAGGCAGCAGUGAGGAAUAUUGGUCAAUGGGCGAAAGCCUGAACCAGCCAUGCCGCGUGAAGGAUGACAGCGCUACGCGUUGUAAACUUCUUUUGUACAGGAAGAAACACUUCUACGUGUAGAAGCUUGACGGUACUUA
rnacentral:rRNA from 1 species